rnacentral:rRNA from 1 species
AGAGUUUGAUCAUGGCUCAGAUUGAACGCUGGCGGCAGGCUUAACACAUGCAAGUCGAGCGGGGACUUCGGUCCUAGCGGCGGACGGGUGAGUAAUACUUGGGAAUCUACCUAGUAGUGGGGGACAACGUUUCGAAAGGAACGCUAAUACCGCAUACGCCCUACGGGGGAAAGGGGGGGAUCUUCGGACCUCUCGCUAUUAGAUGAGCCCAAGUCGGAUUAGCUAGUUGGUGGGGUAAAGGCCUACCAAGGCGACGAUCCGUAACUGGUCUGAGAGGAUGAUCAGUCACACUGGAACUGAGACACGGUCCAGACUCCUACGGGAGGCAGCAGUGGGGAAUAUUGGACAAUGGGCGAAAGCCUGAUCCAGCCAUGCCGCGUGUGUGAAGAAGGCCUUCGGGUUGUAAAGCACUUUAAGCGAGGAGGAAGGGUUCUUAAUUAAUACUUAAGAGCAUUGACGUUACUCGCAGAAUAAGCACCGGCUAACUCUGUGCCAGCAGCCGCGGUAAUACAGAGGGUGCAAGCGUUAAUCGGAAUUACUGGGCGUAAAGCGCGCGUAGGCGGUUGUAUAAGUUGGAUGUGAAAUCCCUGGGCUUAACCUAGGCACUGCAUUCAAAACUGUACAGCUAGAGUGUAGGAGAGGAAGGUAGAAUUCCAGGUGUAGCGGUGAAAUGCGUAGAGAUCUGGAGGAAUACCGAUGGCGAAGGCAGCCUUCUGGCCUAACACUGACGCUGA